CCUCAGCUAUUAGAUUAUGGCAGAAGUAAUGCUGUGUGACUUCUCAGCCAAAGUCCUAAGAGCAGAACAGCUUCUGCCUGGAUCUCUCACUCUAGCUAUCAUGAAGCUUCUCUAUUACAUGGAGAUAGAGAUCUGCUGAAGGAGCCCCAGCUGUUGGUAUUUUCCAGGCCAGGCACCAGUCAUAUGAGUAAGCCAGCCAUCAGACAACUUAGCCCCAGCCACUGUCUGCCUGCAACUGCACAAGAGAGCUGAGUGAAAACAAUCUUGCUGAGUUCAGUCAAGCUCCAGAAAUGUACGGGAUUCAAACUCAGUGGAUCUGGGUGGGGACUGAACCUUUGCAAUUCUAUCAAGUUCCCAGAUGAUGCUGAGGCUGAUGUUGCUGGUCCAUGGACCCCCAUUUUGAGAGAGGUCUCACCAUGAACCUGGCGAUGGAUGAGAAGAUAUUUCUUUCCCCCCAUACCAGCCCUCACCACCAACUGACUGCAAAAACUUGAGAGACCGAGUGAGAAUUGCCCAGCUCAGCCCAGUUAGCUCCUAGAACCAUGAGAGAUAAAAAUAAA
rnacentral:lncRNA from 1 species